rnacentral:rRNA from 1 species
AGUCGAGCGCCCCGCAAGGGGAGCGGCAGACGGGUGAGUAACGCGUGGCCAAUCUACCGUGCCCUACGGAAUAGCUCCGGGAAACUGGAAUUAAUACCGUAUACGCCCUACGGGGGAAAGAUUUAUCGGGGUAUGAUGAGCCCGCGUUGGAUUAGCUAGUUGGUGGGGUAAAGGCCUACCAAGGCGACGAUCCAUAGCUGGUCUGAGAGGAUGAUCAGCCACAUUGGGACUGAGACACGGCCCAAACUCCUACGGGAGGCAGCAGUGGGGAAUAUUGGACAAUGGGCGCAAGCCUGAUCCAGCCAUGCCGCGUGAGUGAUGAAGGUCUUAGGAUUGUAAAGCUCUUUCACCGGAGAAGAUAAUGACGGUAUCCGGAGAAGAAGCCCCGGCUAACUUCGUGCCAGCAGCCGCGGUAAUACGAAGGGGGCUAGCGUUGUUCGGAAUUACUGGGCGUAAAGCGCACGUAGGCGGAUAUUUAAGUCAGGGGUGAAAUCCCAGAGCUCAACUCUGGAACUGCCUUUGAUACUGGGUAUCUUGAGUAUGGAACAGGUGAGUGGAAUUCCGAGUGUAGAGGUGAAAUUCGUAGAUAUUCGGAGGAACACCAGUGGCGAAGGCGGCUCACUGGUCCAUUACUGACGCUGAGGUGCGAAAGCGUGGGGAGCAAACAGGAUUAGAUACUCUGGUAGUCCCCGCCGUAAACGAUGAAUGUUAGCCGUCGGGCAGUAUACUGCUCGGUGGCGCAGCUAACGCAUUAAACAUUCCCCCUGGGGAGUACGGUCGCCAAGAUUAAAACUCCACAGAAUUGACCGGGGCCC